UAAUUGAAGAGUUUGAUCAUGGCUCAGAUUGAACGCUGGCGGCAGGCCUAACACAUGCAAGUCGAGCGGUAACAGGAGAAAGCUUGCUUUCUUGCUGACGAGCGGCGGACGGGUGAGUAAUGUAUGGGGAUCUGCCCGAUAGAGGGGGAUAACUACUGGAAACGGUGGCUAAUACCGCAUAAUGUCUACGGACCAAAGCAGGGGCUCUUCGGACCUUGCACUAUCGGAUGAACCCAUAUGGGAUUAGCUAGUAGGUGGGGUAAAGGCUCACCUAGGCGACGAUCUCUAGCUGGUCUGAGAGGAUGAUCAGCCACACUGGGACUGAGACACGGCCCAGACUCCUACGGGAGGCAGCAGUGGGGAAUAUUGCACAAUGGGCGCAAGCCUGAUGCAGCCAUGCCGCGUGUAUGAAGAAGGCCUUAGGGUUGUAAAGUACUUUCAGCGGGGAGGAAGGUGAUAAGGUUAAUACCCUUA
rnacentral:rRNA from 1 species